rnacentral:rRNA from 1 species
AACGAACGCUGGCGGCAGGCCUAACACAUGCAAGUCGAGCGCCCCGCAAGGGGAGCGGCGGACGGGUGAGUAACACGUGGGAACGUACCCUUUGCUACGGAAUAGUCUCGGGAAACUGGGGGUAAUACCGUAUGUGCCCUUCGGGGGAAAGAUUUAUCGGCAAAGGAUCGGCCCGCGUUGGAUUAGGUAGUUGGUGGGGUAAUGGCCUACCAAGCCGACGAUCCAUAGCUGGUUUGAGAGGAUGAUCAGCCACACUGGGACUGAGACACGGCCCAGACUCCUACGGGAGGCAGCAGUGGGGAAUAUUGCGCAAUGGGCGAAAGCCUGACGCAGCCACGCCGCGUGAGCGAUGAAGGCCUUCGGUCGUAAAGCUCUGUGGGGAGGAGACGAAGAAAGACCUGUGAAGAGCAGGCCUUGACGGUAUCUCCUUAGCAAGCACCGGCUAACUCCGUGCCAGCAGCCGCGGUAAUGUACAGUGU